GUGAGGAAUAUUGCGCAAUGGAGGCAACUCUGACGCAGCCAUGCCGCGUGCAGGAAGAAGGCGCUACGCGUUGUAAACUGCUUUUAACCGGGAAGAAACCCCAGGACGUGUCCUGGGUUGACGGUACCGGAGGAAUAAGCACCGGCUAACUUCGUGCCAGCAGCCGCGGUAAUACGAAGGGUGCAAGCGUUAUCCGGAUUCAUUGGGUUUAAAGGGUGCGUAGGCGGAGCGUUAAGUCAGUGGUGAAAUCCUGCAGCUUAACUGUAGACUUGCCAUUGAUACUGGCGCUCUUGAGUGCGCUUGAAGUGGGCGGAAUGUGCCGUGUAGCGGUGAAAUGCUUAGAUAUGGCACAGAACACCAAUUGCGAAGGCAGCUCACUAAGGCGAUACUGACGCUGAGACGCGAAAGCGUGGGGAGCAAACAGGAUUAGAAACCCCUGUAGUCC
rnacentral:rRNA from 1 species